GAGUGACUGAUUUCUCACUGAACAACUAAAUCAACCACCGGCCCAAUAAAGGAGGAGACUAUUGAUUUAGGCAACUGGAAUCCAGACAAGUGCUUGACAAGCGGAAAUAAUUUCUCCUCAAGAGACGUCAAUAGGUUCUGAUGGGGUUAUUAAGGGGAAUCAAAUAUAUUUGCAUUUAGACAACGAGCAAUUUGUCAUGUAAACUGAAAUCCGUUCUCACCCUUGAAUGCAAAGGAACUCUAGCAGGAACCAAAUAAAAGUUAAUCAGGAAUGUAUGGCACAAAACACAUGAUGAAUGAAGUGCAUUAAUGCUGAGCCAGGAAAACAAAGUAAUCUCUUAACAUCCUCAUCAAUGUAAUGCGUUUAUACGACGACCACACAAACAAAGUACAAGUAAUUCUUGAAAAUUACCCUUGGGGUUUAAGGCCAAAUAAUUUAUGUAGUAGGCAUAGUAUAAUGUAUGCAUGCUAACAGUACGUACUGAAAAAGGUAUGGAAAUCUUAUACAAAAUCACAAAGGUUUCCUCUGCCAUGCACUCUAUUCAUUGCAAAUUGAACAUAGAGGUACCUAGAUGCAUGACAAAUUCCUCUCACCUAUCAGUUUUCCUUGGCCUACAAGGCAGUCCUCUGCUAAACCCUCUUUUAUUUUGCACUCUUCUUGUUUUGUUAUUUUACCUGGCAGUCCAGGUGUGAAGGGGUGAGGCCAUGGAAAAACAUUCAAUUCUACAGGCUUGUCAUGAAAGAAUCCAUUGAUUGACCUCUACAUCAAGGAGCACAAUGACAAAUGGGUUAAGGGAGCUUUGUGGGAAAAGCCUGCUGUGGAGAAUCAAAGACAUCUCUGAUGCCAUUUCAACACCCCGGACCAGUCCUUCUUCAUGUGGAAAUGAAUAUAUAUUUGUAUAGCACGUGAAUAAAUUAUAGAACAU